UAGUUUAAGGGAAUAAUCUUAAAUGUAUUCUGCCCAAUGAUUUUUAUUUUUAAUGGCCGCAGUACCUUGACUGUGCUAAGGUAGCAUAAUCAAUUGGCUUUUAAUUAAAGUCUAGAAUGAAAGGAAAAAUGAAGUAAUUCUGUCUUAAAGAAUAUUUUUUUAAUUUAUUUAUAUGAUGAAAAUAUCAUUUUUUAGAAAAAAGACGAGAAGACCCUUAGAGUUUUUAUAAUUUUUUUUGUUGGGGCGACAAGUAAACAAUUAAACUUUACUAAUUUUUAAAUCGAUUGAUUAAUAAGAUUAAUUAAACUACCUUAGGGAUAACAGCAUUAUAUUAUUUUAUGAUUGUGACCUCGAUGUUGGACUAGGAACUUUAUGGCUAGCCGUCAUAAAAGAUUUGUUCUGUUCGAACAAUUUUAUCCUAC
rnacentral:rRNA from 1 species